rnacentral:lncRNA from 11 species
GAUCCCAGUCAAAUUGGCACCGAAGAAAACUCCAGAACAAAUUUACGUCUCUAUCAGAUACUUGCAACAAAAACCUCGAGAAAGAAUGGCAAAUGCUUCACUUCAUCAAUUAGCACUCUUUAUGUUCCUAUUUAUGGUUGCAUCUGGUUUAACUCAACAAGCUAGUGCAAGAGGCGAUCAAUGCAAAACCAACAAAGAUUGUGUUCCAUCUUGUGCUCAUCGCCCACAUUGUCCUGUGUUGUGUCUUGGUGGAUAUUGCCUUUGCGAUUGCGGUUCUGCAAAAGUACAUAUAUAUAGCCAUAUAUGACAGAACAAAUUGUAGUAGUCAAUGGCUUUGUUUUUUUAGAGUGGUUUGGGAUAAAAUGGAAAUAAUGUUAAAUAAAGUGUAAUGCAAAAUAAUAUAUAAAAUAAUAAAAAUUUUGCAGGUUGAACU